rnacentral:rRNA from 1 species
GACGAACGCUGGCGGCGUGCCUAAUACAUGCAAGUCGAGCGCUCAAGGUUGGUACUUGUACCUACUGGAUGAGCAGCGAACGGGUGAGUAACGCGUGGGGAAUCUGCCUUUGAGCGGGGGACAACUUCUGGAAACGAAUGCUAAUACCGCAUAAAAACUUUAAACACAAGUUUUAAGUUUGAAAGAUGCAAUUGCUUCACCCAAAAAUGAUCCCGGGGUGUAUUAGCUAGUUUGUGAGGUAAAGGCCCAACAAGGCGAUGAUACAUAGGCGACCUGAGAAGGUGGUCCGCCACAAUGGGAACGGGACAACGCCCAAAACUCUACGGGAAGGAGCAGGAGGGGAACUUUGGCAAAGGACGGAAGGCCGACCGAGGAACGCCGCGUGAGUGGAGGAGGUUUUCGGGUCGGAAAACUCCGUUGGUAGGGAAGAAAGUUGGUGGGAGUGGAAAGCGCAUCAAGUGACGGUAACUACACAGAAAGGGACGGCUAACUACGUG